UACGAAGGGGGCUAGCGUUGUUCGGAAUCACUGGGCGUAAAGCGCACGUAGGCGGAUCCUUAAGUCAGGGGUGAAAUCUCGAGGCUCAACCUCGGAACUGCCUUUGAUACUGGGGAUCUUGAGUCCGGGAGAGGUGAGUGGAAUUGCGAGUGUAGAGGUGAAAUUCGUAGAUAUUCGCAAGAACACCAGUGGCGAAGGCGGCUCACUGGCCCGGUACUGACGCUGAGGUGCGAAAGCGUGGGGAGCAAACAGG
rnacentral:rRNA from 1 species